GACGAACGCUGGCGGCGUGCUUAACACAUGCAAGUCGAACGGAAAGGCCCCUUUGGGGGUACUCGAGUGGCGAACGGGUGAGUAACACGUGAGUAACCUGCCCUUGACUUCGGGAUAACUUCAGGAAACUGGGGCUAAUACCGGAUAGGAAUCCUUGCUGCAUGGUGGGGGUUGGAAAGCUUCGGCGGUUUUGGAUGGACUCGCGGCUUAUCAGCUUGUUGGUGGGGUAGUGGCUUACCAAGGCUUUGACGGGUAGCCGGCCUGAGAGGGCGACCGGCCACAUUGGGACUGAGACACGGCCCAGACUCCUACGGGAGGCAGCAGUGGGGAAUAUUGCACAAUGGGCGGAAGCCUGAUGCAGCAACGCCGCGUGCGGGAUGACGGCCUUCGGGUUGGAAACCGCUUUCAGCAGGGGCGAAGCUUGUGGUGACGGUACCUGCAGAAGAAGCACCGGCUAACUACGUG
rnacentral:rRNA from 1 species